AUUUUUAUGAGUUUUCUAUCCAGAAAACUACCAGUAAUGUUUUAAUCUGAAAAUAUAAACAGGAAACUGUAAAAACCUACAAAGACUGACACAGGAAGUGGGGUUGAAGUUGACCCAGAGCAGACAAGGUGUGAAGGGGGCGGAGCCUGUGGUAUGACAUCAUAGCUUUCAGCUCCUCUAUGCUGAUUCAUGUUAUUCCUAACAUGGCCGAUGCGACUGUUUGACUCAGUCAAAGCUUAGUUUUACUCUUAUGAACAAGCUUGUUGUUACCAUGAUGAUCUAACCAGGUUAACAAGACAGAUGGUGACAUCACAGACCACAGAUGGUGACAUCACAGACCGUCCAGCACGGAGAACCUUUGAGACCAGAAUCCGGUUCGGUUUGUUCUGACCCAUCAACCGAACCCUAAUAUGAUCAAUAAUCAAUACAAGUCCAUCGUUUAAAGCCCAAACUAACCUCAUAUUUUCACAAAUUUAUCAGAGAAGCUAAAUUUAAAUCAGAAUGUUGUUAUAAAUGGUUCUGAAGUUGUUUGAGAAAAUAAAUUGCCUAUUUUUCUACUUUCUCUCCUCCAUAUAAGCUGUUUAUUUAAAGAAAACCUCACACAAUGCUGUAUGUAAAUAUUGAUGUAAUAGUGGUUUUCCACUGCUGGGUUUAUAUUUGUGUUUUCAUGCUAGAUUUCUGCUUCAGACUUUUAACUUUCUGCCUCAGAAAAUAACUGUUUAAAACAGCUUCAGAAAAUAGUUUAAACACGC